rnacentral:rRNA from 1 species
UUUGAACUUAAAUUAUUAAAAUUAAAGUAGUAAAAGUUAUGAUCUCGAAAUUUAAAAAAUUUGACGGUAUUUUAAUUAAUCAGGGGAACUUGUUCAUUAAAUCGAUAGUCCACGAUAGAAACUACUUAACUUUGUAGGUCAGCUUGUAUACCGUCGUUUUAAAAAAAUUUUAUGAGAAUAUUUUUAGUAUUUUUAAUGAAACAGAAUUCAGAUCAAGGUGCAGUUUAUAGUUAAGAUAGAAUGAGUUACAAUAAAUUUAAUUUAAAUGGAUUUAAUAAAUAAUUUUAUUAAUGAAGGUGGAUUUGAAAGUAAAUUUAAUUAAUUAAUUAAAUUGAUUAAUACAAUAAAAUAUGU